UGGCCUUAUUAUCUCCAAGAGUUCCACUGAUUCAAACGGUACCCUAAGUAGGACCGAUAACAGAGAAAAAAGAGAGGAGGGUGCUUUGUCUCACACGGCCACCAGGGGCAAGAGAUAAAAUAUGAAUGCGUUCAAGGCUUUUAAAGCAUGUGUUCCGGUUGCAUGGAGCCCUAAUCUUUAUAUAACCUUGGUGAGGGGCAUUCCAGGAACUAGGAGACUCCACAGGCGUACAUUAGAGGCACUGCGCCUCCGAAAGUGCAACCGAACUGUCAUGAGAUGGAACACUCCUACUGUCAGGGGAAUGCUUCAACAGGU